rnacentral:rRNA from 1 species
UACCUUGCAGCCUUGGACGCUUAACAACAGAAUAAAGCCCCCGGCUAUUCGAUCAGCAGCCGGGUUAAUUCGAAGGCAUGCGGAGCACUACUCCGAAUCUACUGGACGUAAAGCGCACGCAGGCGGUUUGUUAAGCUUGGAUUUGAAAAGCCCCGGACUCAACCGCGAUGGUCAUUAGGACCUGGCAGACUAGAGUCCUGGAGAGGGGAGUGGAAUUCCAGGUGUAGCGUGAAAUGCGUAGAUAUCUGGAGGAACAUCAGUGGCGAAGGCGACUCCCUGGCCAAUGACUGACGCUCAUGUGCGAAAGUGUGGGUAGCGAACAGGAUUAGAUACCCUGGUAGUCCACUCCGUAAACGCUGUCUACUAGCUGUGUGUGCCUUUAAAUCGUGCGUAGCGAAUCUAACGCGCUAAGUAGACCGCCUGGGGAGUACGGCCGCAAGGUUAAAACUCAAAUGAAUUGACGGGGGCCCGCACAAGCGGUGGAGCAUGUGGUUUAAUUCGAUGCAACGCGAAGAACCUUACCUACACUUGACAUGCAGAGAACUUUCUAGAGAUAGAUUGGUGCCUUCGGGAACUCUGACACAGGUGCUGCAUGGCUGUCGUCAGCUCGUGUCGUGAGAUGUUGGGUUAAGUCCCGCAACGAGCGCAACCCUUGUCCUUAGUUGCCAGCAUUAAGUUGGGCACUCUAAGGAGACUGCCGGUCACAAACCGGAGGAAGGUGGGGAUGACGUCAAGUCAUCAUGGCCCUUACGUGUAGGGCUACACACGUGCUACAAUGGCAUUUACAGAGGGAAGCGAGACAGUGAUGUGGAGCGGACCCCUUAAAGAAUGUCGUAGUCCGGAUUGGAGUCUGCAACUCGACUUCAUGAAGUCGGAAUCGCUUGUAAUCGCAGGUCAGAAUACUGCGGUGAAUACUUCAAGGGCCUCUGUA